rnacentral:rRNA from 1 species
GUUUGAUCCUGGCUCAGAGCGAACGUUAGCGGCGCGCCUAACACAUGCAAGUCGCACGAGAAAGGGGGCAACCCCCGGUACAGUGGCGCACGGGUGAGUAACACGUGGGUGAUCUGCCCAGAAGAAGGGGAUAACCUCUCGAAAGGGGGGCUAAUACCGCAUAGGACCACCGGGGCUUUUGGCUCUGUGGUGAAAGGGGGCCUCUGUUUACAAGCUCCUGCUUCUGGAUGAGCCCGCGUCCCAUCAGCUAGUUGGUAGGGGUAAUGGCCUACCAAGGCUACGACGGGUAGCUGGUCUAAGAGGAUGGCCAGCCACACUGGAACUGAGACACGGUCCAGACUCCUACGGGAGGCAGCAGUGGGGAAUCUUGCGCAAUGGGCGAAAGCCUGACGCAGCGACGCCGCGUGGGUGACGAAGG